UCUUUGCUAGUAUAUCGGUUAGUACACGCGCCUGUCAUGUGACACUCACAGGUUUCGCGCGAAAGCUGGGUUCGACUCCCAGGCAAAGAG